GUCCAUGGGAUGGUGUUUAAACAAAUUUAUUUUAAAUUUCAGAGGACAGAUUACAUUAGUUGACAUCAGCAUUACACUCACCUGGUCAUUCUGUCUCUUUAAAACAGUACUGUGAAGUUGAUUGGAAAUUUCAUCUUCUCCCUAUUUGAGACUCAUUUGAUAUUAUUUGCUGCUUCACCACUCAGUGUUAGUGUCCCUGAGGCCUGCCUUGCACUACUUUCUCUAUCUAAAAUAUUCACAUGCCUGUAACUGAAUUCAAGGAAAACAAAGCCUGGGGCUAGAAGGAAGUGUAGGAAUCCAAGGAGAAAUAUCCGUGGUAGAUUUCAAUUAAGAAGCUCUGGCAUUAAGCAAAAUAGGUGAAGAAGCUUUACACGUCGUUUCCCUUUUGAGUCGCUCAGCCAAAUUCAUCAGUGUAAAGGAAGAGUUAAAGAAGUACUCAAACCCAAGAGCCCUUUAAAGAAACAACAUAGGAGUCAGUGAGUGAGUGGGGGAAGCAGCCAAGAUGGACAAACAAGAACAGCUCUGGUCUACAGCUCCCAGCAUGAGCGACGCAGAAGACAGGUGAUUCCUGCAUUUCCAUCUGAGGAAGGACCUCAGGAAACCUGCCCAGCAAUCAUAAAUGCUGCUUUCAUCCUGCAAGUGAUCUUACUUUGCAUGCCACUGAGCCACAGGUUCAUGAGCAAGAGAGUAGAAGGUAUGAAGCAUAAACUUCUCAGCUGUAAAGGCAGGGUGGAUAGAAAGCCAAUAUAGAAAACGCACACUUCCAUACUUAAUCCAAUAUUCCUUUUGAAUACAAAUGAGAGUGAUACAUAUUAUGCUAGUAAUUAGAUUAGAAAAACAAUAUUUCAGAGGGAAGUCUAAAGGAAACAACAACAUGAUAUGCAAAAGAAUUCUAAUAUAUCCUUUCUGUGUUUUUUUUUCUUUCAGUCAGAUUUAUUUAUAAGGCCUCUGCCAAACUAAUUUAGCUCCUGCUAUAGGUACCACUCAGAAUUCAUUUUCACAGAUGCUCUUUUUAAUCUUCACAAUGCGGAGCUGAGUGGAUGCUCUCAAAGGCCCCCUAGUUUCUUGUAUGUCUUGUUUUGGAGAUGCAGAGUCUUCCCA
rnacentral:lncRNA from 10 species